rnacentral:lncRNA from 1 species
AAAGUGAUCUGUGCACUGAUCGGAUCAAUCACCGUCCUCGUGAUGAUCCAUUGAUCAGGAGCAUUUAGAAAUUAAUCACCAAUGAUACAUGGCUCAAAUUUUCAACUCUUGAGAAUAUGUAUCAUCAUCUUAUUAAUUUCUUGGACGAUUCAUAGACACAUAAAUAAUAUGAAUGAAAAGAUGCCUUUUAUUUAUUCAAUAAUAAAUAGUCAAGUACAAAAUUAUGUCCCUAGAAUUAACAAUGUGUCAGCCAGAUUGGCUUCUAGGGCAUACAUCU